rnacentral:tRNA from 1 species
ACGGGUAUAGCUCAGUGGCAGAGCAUAAGAUCAGCAUGCAUGAGGUCCUGGGUUCAAUCCCCAGUACCUUCA